AUCAACAAGUGCCCCUAGUGCAGAUCUUGGUGGUAGUAGCAAAUAUUAAAAUGAGAACAUUGAAGAGUGAAGUGGGGAAAUGUUCCAUGUGAACAUCACUUGGACAUGGGUUAGUCGAUCCUAAGAGAUGGGGACUACUUGUGUCAAGGGUUCACUCUUCAUGAACA
rnacentral:ncRNA from 1 species